UAAGGUCAUUUCCAAAUUUGUUCCCAGUAAAAACCUGACGUCGUACCGACGUUGGUUAGACGUUGGUUUUUGGUCGCGACGUCGGCGACCUGUUGGAAUUAGGUUGGAUAGAAAGUCUGAUAAAUGUUUUUAGUUAUAAAACUAACUGGUAUAAUUUUGCUAGUAUAGUUUAAAGAUAUUUACUUGUUUUCAUAUAGGCCUGGACAUGCGCUUAUUAAUAAUAGUUCAUUCUCACAACAAACAUUAUAUUAAUUAUGUUACAAUAUCGCAUGAGAUUGUCUAUUUUCGGAGACGGAUUUUUUCACGAACUUUAAACUGUUCAAGAUAAAAAUGCAUUCUAUACACAUGUAUAAAUUAUUCUAAAUUCACACAGAUUUUCUCUUCUACACAUGUCUAUUAGUCACACAUUCGCGAGAUAAGCCUGCAUCGGUUUACACAGUCUUCCUGUAAUUUGAUAUUUAUUGGGAUAAGAUAGAGCAAGUUUAUAAAUACUUUACACAAAGAGACGGAUCCGCAACGUGGAAAUGUUGGCGGAGUUGAAGAAUCAUGCAAAAAUGACGAAACUUGAAAGUUUCAAUUACUGCAUUACUUUUUGGACUUAUUGUAUUAGACUUACGUCGCCGUAAUAUGAAAUAAAGAUGAUAAA